UGAAGGAGUUUUUCAGUCUGCGCCUGGGAUAAUUCUGGCUCCUCUGGCGCCGCCAUCUUACCUCGCCAAUCAUCUAGCCAGGCAGUAAUGGCCACCCUGCGUUCAUA